UCUUCAAAAGUCAGUCUCUAUGUAGUCAGACACCGUACUUUCUACUUUUUUGUACUUUAGGCUCCUGCACAGGUUAGCAUAUAGCUCAAAGCAUACAGUAGCUAAUGUUAAUGUAAAUAAUUGUGUGAGUACACCUUUAGACACGCUAAUUACAAGCUCACUAACAUAACAUGUUAGCAAACCAAUUUUAGCACGGUAGCACGUGUAGCAGCACUCAUUUCAUAUUUAAAGUCGGUGUAAAAGAGCGUUUGGCAAGAUAUAAAUCCUUGAAAGCAAGUCACUGACUUUGAAUGGUUUACAAUGCAAACAUGAAAAAUUUAAUCUGGACCCGACCCCAUCAGAAAACAGUUGCUCCCAUACAAUGAUUAACUCCAGCUGAUAGUGACUGGCUGGAGCAUCUUAAUCUUUCAACAAUGAAAAGCAUUAACAUAAGCAAAACCAAAUUUUCACUUACCGAAGAAAUCGCAAAAAUUAGAGACUUUUUUAAUGCCUUUUUAAUACCACAGAGAAGGUAAUUCAUCACCUCUUUCAUGGUCAUACCAGUCAAAGAAUGAUGGAAAACCAAGAGGGAGAACUUCAGAUUUCAUUGACAUUUGUAUCACUUUUUUCAGUACUUCGCGGAUGUACAUAAUAAUAAUUCCCAGUAAUAUGACUGAUCGACCUGGAUUCCGGUAAGCUGCGGAAAACUGAUGGAUGGAUGAAAUAAUUACAAAAUCAUUUAGUUCACUUUUAAAUUCCUUCUAAAACUGACACUUGCCCAAUUUGAGCCGCUGUGGCCAACAGCAGCAUCAGCGUAUGUGAGCAGUCUCAUGUCACAGAUUGAAACUCCACAAAAAAGAGGAACUGAACAGCCUCCUGUAUCCACUGUCACACACGUAACAUCUCCCAACAACCAACAACCACAUACUAAAAAAAUGUAUUUUUUUUAAAUCCUUUAAGGCCUUUUGUUGAUGGAACUGAAGGCCUCUUAAGACUUUUUUCAAGCCCCGCAUACCCUGGUAUUAGACUGCCUUCAUUUUAGCUUGGUGUAUCUAAUGAACUGAGUUUAAUUUUCAGCUGCUGUCUCAGGAGCUGAAGUAUCAAGUUUCUGUUCCUCUAAACAUAGAAUUAUCUCUGUAGUUGUACACAUGUGGUCUUCAUUGGACCACCAGGGUUGGUUGGUGAGAAGAUAAGAGACAACGCUGAAACAAAAGUUCCCCAUGAAGGCUGGAGCAGCAAUGUGCCAAAUCUAAUAAAGAGCAAAUUGAGAACACUCCUUCAUCGGCAUCUCUUCCUUGUUAAUAAAAUCCUCCCAGCUAGAUAAUAGGGGAUCACAUUAGGGCUAAACAACACAUAAUGUAUUACUUGCCUUUAUUGACCCACAUAGAGAAGAAAGCUGGCGGUGAGGCCAUUGCAAUACACAACGAUAUGAACAAUGUACAGUCAGCAGGUGAUGACAUCACUGCUGUAUUGACUGAGAGUCCUCAGACACUGGAAGCCUCAAAAAUUCAAAAACAUAGAGGCAGAUGUACACAGAUGUGUAGGUGAAUGCCCUGCACAUAUUACCAUACUGAUAUCAAGACUAGCUGACGGCAAUCAGUUGACAAUUACAUACUAGUUAAGACACAGUUUGUUGUGUCAAACAACUGGAGGAAUGUGCUUUUGCAUAAUACUGAGUGUGGCAGCGGCCUGUGUGUACAGUAUGCUGUUUAAAAACAACUGUGUUUUUACCAACUCUGAGAAGAAGCAGUUGUUUCUCAUCAUUUUUACAGUUUACAGUAGGUUGUGCGAUCCUUGACAUGCUUCCCAUUGCACCGAUAGCUGUGUUAAAAAGGUCAGUACAGACAACAGUCGUCUACAACUUUGCCAGGACGAAUCCAGUAGGGAAGAGUUGAGAAUGAUUAAAUAAUUCUUGACAUGAUUUUAGUUUGUAUGUGUUGAAAAAUCAGUCAUGUCAUUAUAUAAUUUUUGGGCACAGGGGAUUAAGAAAAACUUAGAAGUGUUGGCAAGUAGUAUUUCACACAGAUCACUCCAGCAGUACACAGUGCUCAGAGAACUGUGUCCUCCAUGUGACACCUGCACAGAGAGGCUUCACAAUAAAAGUCAGUACACCAAACGAGGGAGAGCUUAUCCUUGGAAAACGGGAAUGACACUAGGGAGGGUUAAAUUGCUGUGUGUUGGUUUUGGGUGCGAACAUAAACCUUCUUUCUAUCAUUAAGUCUAUAACCAUUUAAAACUACUCAGUGUAAAAGUCGCACUGGAAAACAAGGCAAGAGAAAAAUGAUACAUUUGGAGCACUAUAAAGAGUCAAGAAGGAAGCAACGUGGAAGGUUAGAUGAGAAUCCCUGAGCAACUCAGAGCAGAAAUAAAGGCAAAGCAGCCAGAACCUUGUGUGAACUGUAACACAAGCAGCGCUGAGCCCCGUGAGAGCUUGACACACAUCUGAAAUGGAGGACAAAGUAUCCAGGAAAUAGUGCUGUAGCUUGCAUUUCCUAUUCUCUGGGUGUCUGUGAUAGAGACCAGCCUCCCCGGAGCGAUCCAGACGCGAACAGAUGAACACGUCUUCACGACUGAGCUGGCACGAGCUGGCAAUACCCCGAGAGCAGAGAGUAAAAGUCCUGAGAGCGGUUAGUGCCCUGAGUCCCAGAGAGAGAGAGAGAGAGAGAGAGAGAGAGAGAGAGAGGGUAGUGGCAGUAUGUGCAGAGAGCCAGGACUCCCGGAGCAAACUUGUCCCCUCCGUUUUUCUGAAGCAGGCAGUGCUCUUUUGAAACAGUGCCAGUGGAGGCUGGCCCAAAACCUUGCAGCUGAAACUUUUACAGGCUCAGUGUUUGCGAGCAGGAAGAGAAGGACACAAAGUGAGAUUUGUAAAGGGAGUUUUACAGCUCCUCUCCUCUUCUUUCCUCUUCUUCGACCUGCCUGAGAUGUCAGCACAAUGAUUUGUGUUUGAUGUCUUUGUUCAUUAAAACUACGAAUUCUUCAAGAAUAUGCACGUUUUGGAAAGAAGACUGCAUGAGGAGAGGAAAGGAUAUUUAAAGUAUAUAUAAGGAUAUAAUUGCUUGAAAAAAAAUGAAGAGUCAGUGACGUCACACAGGAAGCUGUCUUGGAUACUGCCUGAGGAAAGAUACUGAUGAGUGUCCAUGGCACUCAGUGGCAUUACGUUGUGCCCUUUUCAGGAUUCGUACAUCGGAUUAUUUCAGUGAUUUUCGUUUCUUGGUGACGAUCCACACAAAACAUUUCCUCUGGAUUUGAUCGUUCCAGGAUAUUGACUCUUCACAUGCCCUUAUUUUCGCUUCAGCUCUCCAUGACACAUUUUGUGACUUGAGGGUAUAUUGUGGUAAACAUCACACCACUCGUUUGGUCCGUUAAUGUUGACAGCAAACACUGAUUUCCUUUCACUACUACAGUCAAAUUAAAUCAGAACCCCGUUGGUUGCCAUUUUCUUGUAUUUGCUGUGCAACAAAUCUGCAUAAAAACACAGGCAGGUGCAGAACAACUAAAGACGUCCGGAAUGACUACCGAAAAUGGGAACUGUGAGGCAUGUACUACCUGGGAAUGAUGCCAACUGCUGACAAAAGGCUUUACUGCACGGCUCUGAGAGAAGCCUUUAACUCAUUUGCUCUGAAAUGCUUCAGGAAUAUCUGACACUGAAUUGUUUGGCCAACUGUAGAUAAAUCUGUCAAACCUUUUGGCUUUGUUACAAGACAGCAUGUAAGUACUCACUUCUGAUUCCUUUACCCGAGCUUAUUUCUCUGUCUGCCUCACUCUAUUUCUUCUCCCCUCCCAGCCCCUAAUCCUGCAGUCAAGUGAGUGUCUAUUUGAUGGCACACAAUCUACAGUUCAUGUGACUGCUCCCCUUUAUUCUGCGAGUACACUCUGUCAACUCUGUGACUUCACCUCAAAACAAAACCCUAGUCUACUUUUAUGCAUAUUCCACGUAGAUUUCGUAUCUUUUUUUUUUUUUUUUUUUUAAUUUUGUGACUUCAUGAUUUCUUUUCCUGUCUCCCUUUCUCCUUGCUGUCUCUCCUUCUUGGCAGCAGGGCAAAAGUGGGCAGGGAGAGAGGAGGGCAUGGCCCAGAAACUGCUCUCAAGCCCCAACCCCUGUUCGAGUGGGGUUGCUUGCUGGUAUACUACUCAGCCUUUCCCUCGUCUUGCAGGCGAAAGAGAGGGAUGUGGAAAUGCAUUCUUGUCUCCUUUCUAACCCGCCUUUUUUUUUUUUUUUCCUUUUUUUUUUGUCGCCUCCAUGGCCUUCUUUUGCGGGUGAACACAACCCUGAUCUGUACUAAAAAAGUCACCUCCAGUUCGACUGACAAGUUUCCACUGCUGCCUGCAAAAGCAUCUGUCCUUAAGGCUGAGGUAGUAGAUUGAAUAGUUGUGGGGUUUGUGUCCUCCCUCUGAGAUAACUAUGCAAUCUACUGUCUUUCCUAAGGAGACAGGUUGAUCUGCUGUGAUGCCAAUAGCCCGAGCACACAUAAGAAGCUCUGUGGACAAAGGACCUCAUGGACAGAGUAAAGUAAAUCAGAGGAUAACCCAUCCCUCACCUCUGGAGAAGAGAUUGCGGACACAAAGACUUUAUAUAUUUACCAGAUGCAAUGGUGGAACUUAUCUAAUGUAAUGACAUGUUGUAAAGUUAGUACAUAUUGAGUUAAGUCUUGUUUUUAAGGAUGCUGUACUUGAAGUUGAGCCUAGCAAGGUGAGGUAGUAGGUUGUAUAGUUUGUGGGAUGGAGUAAAUCCUACUCAGGUGAUAACUAUACAGUCUAUUACCUUCCUUGAGAGGUACAAUGAGUGCUUGGAAUGAAGCUCACUCACACACUCUUGCCAAAGGGUGAAAGAGCCACUCCGAUGCCACCUUGUGGCCAAAGACUAUCAUCACUCUGGAAAUUAUUAAAGCUUUGGGAGCUCUAUUGUGUGCAUCUGGAGCAAAUUCACAAAACAUCCAGGGGCUGAAAGUUACUCCUAAUUCCUUUUUGGUCUGAGAAAUUCACCAAGCAAAAGUAUGUUCUACGUCUGAGAGAUGUUAGAGGAAGAGCAGAGGAGUGCUAAGUCUACUCACAGUCAGUUAUGUCUUGUGAAAACAGAAUAAUAAUGAACUUUUAAACCAUAUUUUAAUUGCCAUUUAAUAAGGAUGCAAUUUGCUCACCAACAAAUCUGAACAAUCCAAUAAUAUCAGACAUGACAGUUACAAUACAGUUUGCAGCGCUGACGAUGGCAGCCUCCGCUCUGACAAGAUCAUUAAUCAAAGUAAAAUUGUACCAAUUUGUCUGACAAGUCGUUAAAUGAACAUUAAAUAAUCACCAACUGCAAUUAACACACAAAUAAAGGUACUUUAUACAUGACCAUUGCUGGUAUGUCCAAUAAAAUCAGCUCUGUAUGUAGAAUUACCAUCAAAGUAUGAUGAUUUGUUUUGUUAGCUGGAAAAACAUCCCAUGCUGAUGGUAUUUGAUCCUAGACGCUACAUAUACAUGUAUGCAAUAAAAUAUUUUCAUUUGUU